rnacentral:rRNA from 1 species
CCUACGGGGGGCAGCAGUGGGGAAUAUUGCACAAUGGGCGCAAGCCUGAUGCAGCCAUGCCGCGUGUAUGAAGAAGGCCUUCGGGUUGUAAAGUACUUUCAGCGGGGAGGAAGGGAGUAAAGUUAAUACCUUUGCUCAUUGACGUUACCCGCAGAAGAAGCACCGGCUAACUCCGUGCCAGCAGCCGCGGUAAUACGGAGGGUGCAAGCGUUAAUCGGAAUUACUGGGCGUAAAGCGCACGCAGGCGGUUUGUUAAGUCAGAUGUGAAAUCCCCGGGCUCAACCUGGGAACUGCAUCUGAUACUGGCAAGCUUGAGUCUCGUAGAGGGGGGUAGAAUUCCAGGUGUAGCGGUGAAAUGCGUAGAGAUCUGGAGGAAUACCGGUGGCGAAGGCGGCCCCCUGGACGAAGACUGACGCUCAGGUGCGAAAGCGUGGGGAGCAAACAGGAUUAGAUACCCUUGUAGUC